rnacentral:rRNA from 1 species
UACAGAGGGUGCGAGCGUUGUCCGGAAUCACUGGGCGUAAAGGGCGCGUAGGCGGCUUGAUAAGCGUGCGGUGAAAGCCCGGGGCUCAACCCCGGGUCGGCCGUGCGAACUGUCGAGCUGGAGCACUGUAGAGGCAGGUGGAAUUCCGGGUGUAGCGGUGGAAUGCGUAGAGAUCCGGAAGAACACCGGUGGCGAAGGCGGCCUGCUGGGCAGUUGCUGACACUGAGGCGCGACGAGCGUGGGGAGCAAACAGG